AGAGUUUGAUCAUGGCUCAGAUUGAACGCUGGCGGCAGGCCUAACACAUGCAAGUCGAGCGGAAACGAGUUAUCUGAACCUUCGGGGAACGAUAACGGCGUCGAGCGGCGAACGGGUGAGUAAUGCCUAGGAAAUUGCCCUGAUGUGGGGGAUAACCAUUGGAAACGAUGGCUAAUACCGCAUAAUACCUUCGGGUCAAAGAGGGGGACCUUCGGGCCUCUCGCGUCAGGAUAUGCCUAGGUGGGAUUAGCUAGUUGGUGAGGUAAUGGCUCACCAAGGCGACGAUCCCUAGCUGGUCUGAGAGGAUGAUCAGCCACACUGGAACUGAGACACGGUCCAGACUCCUACGGGAGGCAGCAGUGGGGAAUAUUGCACAAUGGGCGCAAGCCUGAUGCAGCCAUGCCGCGUGUGUGAAGAAGGCCUUCGGGUUGUAAAGCACUUUCAGUCGUGAGGAAGGUAGUGUAGCUAAUAGCUGCAUUAUUUGACGUUAGCGACAGAAGAAGCACCGGCUAACUCCGUGCCAGCAGCCGCGGUAAUA
rnacentral:rRNA from 1 species